GUCCUCAGGUGACUUUUGUGGCACCUUCCCAGCAGAUGAGUUCAGGCAGUGUAGCACAGCCAGUAGGGCAGCCAGUGGCUCCAGCCAUGCCUCAGAGUAGUGGCAGAGGUAGAGGGAGAGGGGCAGCCUCUACUUCAGCAGCAGGUUCCCGAGGUGGAAAUCCUGUAGCCCCAGCACGGAUUUUCACUAUGACUCAGGAGGAGGCUAAUACAUCGAACACAGUGGUGUCAGGUAAUCUCAUCAUUGGGUGUUCAGAUGUGUAUGCUUUGAUGGACCCCGGUGCUUCUCAUUCCUUUAUU
rnacentral:lncRNA from 1 species